GAUUAACGCUAGCGGCAGGCAUAAUACAUGCGAGUUGAACGGCAGCACAGGUAGCAAUACUGGGUGGCGAGUGGCGCACGGGUGCGUAACACGUAUGCAACCUACCCUAUACAGGCGAAUAACCUUUAGAAAUGAGGGCUAAUACGCCGUAGUAUUACAGAUGGGCAUCUAUUUGUAAUUAAAGAUUUAUCGGUAUAGGAUGGGCAUGCGUCCCAUUAGUUAGUUGGUAAGGUAACGGCUUACCAAGACGAUGAUGGGUAGGGGAUCUGAGAGGACUUACCCCCACACUGGUACUGAGACACGGACCAGACUCCUACGGGAGGCAGCAGUAAGGAAUAUUGGGCAAUGGCCGCGAGGCUGACCCAGCCAUGCCGCGUGCAGGAAGACGGCCUUAUGGGUUGUAAACUGCUUUUAUACGGGAAUAAUAGAGUGUACGCGUACAUUUAUGCAAGUAUCGUAUGAAUAAGCAUCGGCUAACUCCGUG
rnacentral:rRNA from 1 species